AGUGAACGCUGGCGGUAGGCUUAACACAUGCAAGUCGAACGGGAGCACAGUAAUAGCUUGCUCUUACGGGUGGCGAGUGGCAGACAGGUGCGGUAUACAUCGGAAUAUCCUUUUUAGUGGGGGAUAAAGUAGGGAAACUUACGCUAAUACCGCAUACGACCUACGGGUGAAAGCAGGGGCUCUUCGGACCUUGCGCGAUUGAAUGAGACGAUAUCGGAUUAGCUAGUUGGCGGGGUACUGGCCCACCAAGGCGACGGUCGGUAGCUGGUCUGGGAGGUUGACCAGCGACGCUGCAACGGGAACACGGGCCAGACUGCUACGGGAAGCAGCAGUGGGCAAUAUUGGACAAUGGGCGCAAGCAUGAUCCAGCCAUACCGGGUGGGUUAAGAAGGCCUUCGGGUUGUGAAGUCCAUGUGUUGGGAAAGAAAAGCAUCAGGUUAAUACCCCGCUAUUCUGACGGUACCCAAAGAAUAAGCACCGGCUAACUUCGUG
rnacentral:rRNA from 1 species